AUACGUAGGGGGCGAGCGUUGUCCGGAAUGAUUGGGCGUAAAGGGCGCGUAGGCGGCGCGGUAAGUCUGGAGUGAAAGUCCUGCUUUCAAGGUGGGAAUUGCUUUGGAUACUGCCGCGCUUGAGUGCAGGAGAGGUUAUCGGAAUUCCCGGUGUAGCGGUGAAAUGAGUAGAGAUCGGGAGGAACACCAGUGGCGAAGGCGGGUAACUGGACUGCAACUGACGCUGAGGCGCGAAAGUGUGGGGAGCAAACAGGAUUAGAUACCCUGGUAGUCCACACUGUAAACGAUGAAUGCUAGGUGUAAGAGGUAUCGACCCCUUUUGUGCCGGAGUCAACACAAUAAGCAUUCCGCCUGGGGAGUACGGCCGCAAGGUUGAAACUCAAAUGAAUUGACGGGG
rnacentral:rRNA from 1 species